rnacentral:rRNA from 1 species
AUUGAACGCUGGCGGCAGGCCUAACACAUGCAAGUCGAACGAGUGGCGGACGGGUGAGUAAUGUCUGGGAAACUGCCUGAUGGAGGGGGAUAACUACUGGAAACGGUAGCUAAUACCGCAUACCAUCAGAUGUGCCCAGAUGGGAUUAGCUAGUAGGUGGGGUAAAGGCUCACCUAGGCGACGAUCCCUAGCUGGUCUGAGAGGAUGACCAGGCACACUGGAACCUAGACACGGUCCAGACUCCUACGGGAGGCAGCAGUGGGGAAUAUUGGACAAUGGGCGCAAGCCUGAUGCAGCCAUGCCGCGGGUAUGAAGAAGGGCUUCGGGUUUGAAAGGACUUUUAGCGGGGAGGCAGUAACCGCAGAAGAAGGCCCGGCUAACUCCGGGCCAGCCGCCGCGGUAAUUC